rnacentral:rRNA from 1 species
UUCGAUUCUAGCUCAGGAUGAACGCUGGCGGCGUGCUUAACACAUGCAAGUCGAACGGGAUAUACUUUUAGCUUGCUAAGUUGUAUAUCUAGUGGCGGACGAGUGAGUAACGCGUGGGUAACCUGCCGUAUGCUGGGGGACAACAGUUGGAAACGACUGCUAAUACCGCAUAAGCGCACGAGAUCGCAUGAUCCUGUGUGAAAAAACUCCGGUGGCAUACGAUGGACCCGCGUCUGAUUAGCCAGUUGGCAGGGUAACGGCCUACCAAAGCGACGAUCAGUAGCCGGCCUGAGAGGGUGAACGGCCACAUUGGGACUGAGACACGGCCCAGACUCCUACGGGAGGCAGCAGUGGGGAAUAUUGCACAAUGGGGGAAACCCUGAUGCCAGCGACGCCGCGUGAGUGAAGAAGUAUUUCGGUAUGUAAAGCUCUAUCAGCAGGAAAGAAAAUGACGGUACCUGACUAAGAAGCCCCGGCUAACUACGUGCCAGCCGCAGC